GGAAGGUACGUCCAAACGACACUAUUCUGAAGCUUCAGAGAACAACACCUUACUACAAGAGAAACCGAGCACAUAUUUGCAGUUUCUAUGUGCGGGGUGAAUGUACAAGAGGUGCUGAGUGCCCUUAUAGGCAUGAGAUGCCAGAAGCUGGGGAGUUGUCCCAGCAAAAUAUAAAAGACCGUUACUAUGGGUAAGCUCGGUUUUGGUUUUUGUUUUUAUUUUUAUAUUUUGCUAGUGAUAAAAAUUUUAAUAUUGCGAAUGACUGUUUGUCUCUAUUUCCCCCCCUAAAUAUUUGCAGGGUGAAUGAUCCAGUGGCACUAAAGCUACUUAACAAGGCUGGUGAAAUGCCUUCUUUGGAAGCGCCUGAGGAUGAAAGCAUUAAAACCCUUUAUGUGGGAGGGCUGGAUAAAAGGAUCACCGAGCAAGAUUUAAGGGAUAACUUUUAUGCCCAUGGUGAAAUUGAAUCGAUAAAGAUGGUCCUCGACAAGGCAUGCGCCUUUGUUACAUACACAACCAGAGAAGGAGCUGAAAAGGCUGCAGAAGAGCUUUCUAGCAAGCUAGUCAUAAAGGGUCUUAGGCUGAAGCUAAUGUGGGGUAAGCCCCAAGCCCCAAGGCCUGAGUCAGAAACCUCCGAUGGAUCCAGGCAGCAAGCAGCAGUGGCUCAUAGCGGAAUGUUGCCCCGGGCAGUAAUAUCUCAGCAGCAGAAUCAAUUCCAGCCAUCUGGACCUGGCAUGCACGACCAACCACCACCUAUGCAGUACUUUAAUAUCCCACCUCCACCUCAGAUGGAUAGAGCCUACUAUCCAUCAAUGGACCCUCAAAGAAUGGGUGCUCUGGUUCCGUCUCAGGACGGGGAGAACAAACCCGGAUCAGAUAAACAACAAGCACAACACUAUCCUUACCAAGGUAUGCCGCCGCCGCCACCUGGACAAUAUCCUCAUCAACAUUAUCCGCCAUAUGGGUACAUGCAACCAAUGCCACCUUAUCAACAGUAUCCACCAUACCAUUCAGCAAUGCCUCCACCUCGAGGCCCACCUCAACAUUAUCAACACCCUGGACCUCCAAGACCUUCACCACCUGUGAGUGCACCAGCUUCAACAAGCGCGCAACCACCACCAGCAUCUACUUCAUCAGGCUCUGCCCCACCACCACCACCACCGGCGCCCGUCCCAUCUGCUGCUGCAUCUGGAUCUUCUCAGCUAUGAAGGUUUUCCCGUACUGUUUGUUUUUGAUAAUGUAAGCAUAAAACUUUUUAACCCCCG
rnacentral:lncRNA from 1 species